rnacentral:rRNA from 1 species
UACAGAGGGGGCAAGCGUUGUUCGGAAUUACUGGGCGUAAAGGGCGCGUAGGCGGCCUGUUAAGUCGAACGUGAAAUCCCGGGGCUCAACCCGGGAACUGCGUCCGAUACUGGCAGGCUUGAAUCCGGGAGAGGGAUGCGGAAUUCCAGGUGUAGCGGUGAAAUGCGUAGAUAUCUGGAGGAACACCGGUGGCGAAGGCGGCAUCCUGGACCGGCAUUGACGCUGAGGCGCGAAAGCCAGGGGAGCAAACGGG